rnacentral:lncRNA from 1 species
UUCACCCCAGUGUGUCCGCAGCGUCCAGCCUCGUGGACGUCUACGGCAGGCGAGCACGAAGGCGCAGGUGAGGAUGGGCGUAGCUGGACGUGGACCUGCGUGUGCGGUGCCGGCACGGUUAAAGGGCCGCCUUGGUGGCGGGAAGGAGCGGAGCUGAUUGCAGGGGGGCAGCCGCUCUUGCAGCAGAGGCACCGGGCUGGGAUCGGGGGUCAGCAUGUGCCAUCACUCCCCCUGACGUGGGCUGCCUUUGCCACCUUCAGCCCGUCACCGAACUUCACCGUGUCUGUGACCUGUUCUCGCAGAGAAAAGGCAAAGGGAAAAAUAAAAUUAUUUUCUUCAGGUUUAUCUUCCCUCCCUGCUGUAAAACCUUCUGCCUGACGGUGAGGCAGAAGACACGAUGUAGGUCUGCAGGAACAUUUGUUCACAUGGGACCAGAGCGGGGAGAGGAAAGGCCACGUUUUGUUGCUGCCAAGGUGUCCUCCAAGACGGUUUCUGCACAGUGCAGCCAGGCAGGCAGAAGAGCCGCUGCCUCCGCUCUGCGGCCAUGGACAGCUGCUGUCUGCCCAUCGCCGCCCCCGAGCCUCCUCUCCCGCCCUGCUCCGGCUCGGCCGCUGCCUUCCCGGCUCCCUCUCCAGCCCGGGGGAGCCCCCAGGCCCCGAGAGACCGGGGUCUCGACUGGGAGACGCGCUGCUCUCGCCCGUGGCACGUCUGAGCGGGGACACACGCCUUUCCCUGCAACGGGACGCCCCAGCGAGUCGCCCGGGCCCCUUCCCGGAUGGAUGGAUGGAUGGAUGAGUGUGGUGCCCGCACGUCCCUGGCUGCGGCAUGGCGGUCCUGGAGCCACCGGCGGGCUGCGACGACGGCGUUUGGCAGAGCAGCAACUUGGCCGCAUAGAAACACGCGCGGCAGGAUGGAGCUGGAAGAGGGGCCACAGCCGGAGCUCGGCCGGUCGUCUGCUGCCGCCAGGUCGGACACGACGCCUCUGCCCGGAUGCGGCCUGCAGGGUAACCUCCGAGAGUGCAAACUCGCGUGCCCGUGCCGAGCUCCCGCCUCUCGGAUGAGCUAACUGCUCUUCAGACACGGCGUUUCUCCCCCUGCCGCUGCUCUCCGCAGCCCGAAUUUCGAGCUGUGUCAGUCCUCCGUCACGACCGAAAUGUGGGAUGCCCGUUAUUUAUGUAAAAUGUUCCGCAGCAUUAACUCAACGCACCAUAGAAACUGAGCCGGUAUUGUGGCGGGCGCUUUCAUCCAGGUUUCCGCCGCGCCGCGGAUGCCGCCUGCCUUUGUGCGCGCCGGUCCCCUGUUUAUCUUGCCGAUGCCUUUGUGGUCCCCGUUGGACAUAUUUUACUGUAAAUAAAGAGCGAUGCUG